rnacentral:rRNA from 1 species
GGACGAACGCUGGCGGCGUGCUUAACACAUGCAAGUCGAACGAUGAAGCCCUUCGGGGUGGAUUAGUGGCGAACGGGUGAGUAACACGUGGGCAAUCUGCCCUUCACUCUGGGACAAGCCCUGGAAACGGGGUCUAAUACCGGAUACGACCUGCCGAGGCAUCUCGGCGGGUGGAAAGCUCCGGCGGUGAAGGAUGAGCCCGCGGCCUAUCAGCUUGUUGGUGAGGUAACGGCUCACCAAGGCGACGACGGGUAGCCGGCCUGAGAGGGCGACCGGCCACACUGGGACUGAGACACGGCCCAGACUCCUACGGGAGGCAGCAGUGGGGAAUAUUGCACAAUGGGCGAAAGCCUGAUGCAGCGACGCCGCGUGAGGGAUGACGGCCUUCGGGUUGUAAACCUCUUUCAGCAGGGAAGAAGCGAAAGUGACGGUACCUGCAGAAGAAGCGCCGGCUAACUACGUGCCAGCAGCCGCGGUAAUACGUAGGGCGCAAGCGUUGUCCGGAAUUAUUGGGCGUAAGAGCUCGUANGCGGCUUGUCACGUCGGGUGUGAAACCCGGG